rnacentral:tRNA from 1 species
CCGUAGCUCAGUUGGUAGAGCAGCUGAUUCGUAAUCAGCAGGUCGCAGGUUCAAAUCCCGUCGGU